CACUGCUGCUACACCUGCCGUGCAGAUGGCACAAAUUCUAGAGGAGGGAAGACCCAAGUGGCCACUUUCAUGACAGCACUGCAGGACAGGCUUUUAAUGUCAGUAAUGUGGAGCAGUGGGGGACUUGGAUUUUCAUCACCGAAGUUCACGUGCCUCAGAGAAGGCAAUUCCCCAGCAAACAUCAAGAGCAAGAGGCUAUGUAUGUUCAACUGAAAUAAAAAUGUAUACUUAAUUCA